GUAAUCUCUAUGCCCAACAUGGAGCCUGAACUCGCCACCCUGAGACAGGGAGUGACAUGUUCUACCAGCUAAGCCAGACACCCCGCAUUUUUCUCUUUUAAUUGUGUUAGUGCCUCAUAGGAGAGCUCCUUCAGCAGAAGUGAUAGAGGCUGUUGCUCUCAGAAUCGAAUGCAAUAUUGUGACCUGUAAAUUCCUAUGACCAUUUCAACAUUUUGUUGAUAUUUAUUCAGGAGAGAUUCCAGAAGGCAAAACUGCCCCCUCCUUUCCCCUCCUCCUCCUCACCAAUCACUCUAACCUCUCUCUCGGGCUGUGAGAGUAUUAAGAACAAUCUAAGGUAAAUUUUUAACACGAUGGUCUAGCUUGGGCUUUGUAGGCUUGGCUAAAUGAAGUAAGUGGUAGUUUUUAGCCAAAAUAACCGCAUUGUUUGGACAAGUUUUCUCCUUUGAGUUUUCUAGGGUCAUUGGAAUGAUCUAACUACCUUACCUGCUAUUUGAACUGGCUGAGCUCUGGAAGGACAGAAAACAAAAGAAGGGUGUUGAAAUGCAAAUAGACAGCUCUAAAUUCCAGUCCCGGGCUGCCAAAAUAGAGCCAAAACUGACAAGGAGGGUCUCCACAGAGGUCUGUGGAAAGCUCUAGAAAAAUCUCACAAGAUGUAUUCCUUUUCGUGAAUUGGAGUCCUCCGGUAGGUAAGAAAAACAAAAACAAAAUAAAAACAAACAAAGGAUUUCAUACUUGGAAUUUGCUCAGUACCAGUUGAAUAGCUAAUUGUUUCUUGUUUUCAUCCCCCCCACCCCUCCUUUUUUUUUUUUCUGCCUGAAUAGAUAAUCCUUACAAAACAUCCAUUCAUUCUACAAGUGAAAAUUUCAGGAAUACUCGAUACUGACCUUGGCAAGACUAAUGGACCGAGACUGAGUGAUGGAUUUGUGUGUGUUGUGUGGCUGAUGUGCGUUUUGGUGUUUUGUAUGCUAGUUUAAGAACAUUUAAGCGAUAGGAUAGAAAAGAUUUAUGACAUCUUAAUUAAUGAAUAUGAUGAAGGCUUCAACUUAUAGAUGAAAUGAUAAGAUACAACAUUAUAUUUAUAGCUUAUUUUUGAGCACAAAUUUGAUUGUGUUUGUAGUUUCAAGAAAGGACCUGCUGAUAAUUAAUGCUAGCUUUUCAAUGUGACCACUUUAACUGAUAUGUAAACAAUUAUUUUUUUUUUAGGAAAAUAAAAUAAGGGGGCAAUACAGCCUAGUGAAAAGGACACACAAUAUCAGAUUCUUAGUUUUCUAUAUUAAAUUCGGGCUCUUAUUUGACUUCUGCUCUGAACUGGCUGUGUGACUUUGAAUAAGUGAUUAAGUUCCUUUUUUUAAAAACAUAUAAAAUUGGAAUGAGAAAUAUGUGAUGGUGAAAAAAAUAUUUGUGAAGGCGUUUUAAAGUCCCAGGAGGAAAGCACAAUCAGAAACCACAGUCAGGUUGGCUUUUUCACUGAAAAUAUCUGAUUUUGUCAGUAAACCUACAUUUUAGUAUAUUAGUUUUUUUUUUUUUAAGCCAUUUAAUUUCAAGUGCUUACAAAAUCUUUAGUGUGUUAAUGGAAAGAAACGCCAUACACUCCGGAUGGCUACAUAGCAACUUUAUUCGGGUAAAAUAAUCUCUUAAAUCCUUGUAUACAGAGUCACUAACUGUUGGCUUUAUAAGGUCAGUUUCAGCAUACCAGCCCUGUGGCUGUUAGGAGCUGAGUGUGUCCAAGAUAGCACUAACUCGAACAAACACAAACAGCAAAUCGUUUAAACAGUACCAGUUGAUCUGUAUGUAACCCGGUCUGAAAAGAGGAUUCCUCAAAAAGCUCACCAGCAAAGUUACGUUAGUUUCGGAGAUUGUUAGGUGGUACCGUGGAGGUUAGCUAUGCCUUAUUAAAAAGCAGAGGUUAGAAAAUGGAAUCUUAUAUUCAGAUACUCAAACAAUUUUAAAGGCUACAACUUGCAGGCCAACCUUUAUUUUUGACUGCUGACUACUUUUGAAGGAGAAAACUUUGGAAACUGAUAUUCUGGUUCCCAGGUCCUCAAAGAAGCGAAGUGAAGAAGUAAAUUCUGCUGGGGUUAGCAGAAGCCUUGCGGUUUUAGGAACGGAGGAUGCCAGGCUCCCUGGGUUCUGAGUUCCAGUUAUUGACACUGUCCUAAUCUCUAUACCAACAUGGGGCUUGAACUUACAACCCCAAGAUCAAGAGCCACAUGCUGUACUGACUGAGCCAGUCAGGCACCACUAUAAGGCUUCCUUCCAGUUCAUUAUAUUUGCAGUCCUUCCCUAAGGACCGAUCUGUUCAGAGGUUCUCCGGGCCAGACACUUCAGAGGCUCUCCACUAUCUGCUCAAUCCAAACCUCGGCGGCCCCAGCCAGACGCUCUGCAAGCAGCCCGCGUAGCCUCCUCUGUACGUGCCUGGCUGCACCAAAAUGAGCUACUCACCAUUUUCUCAAAUGCAGCUCUUGUUUUUCUGCCUCUGCAACUUGAUCACACUCUUCUGUGUUACUUUAUUGAUUCAAUAAAUAUUUAGUGAGUUCUUUAGUUCCUGCCAGGUGCGGAGAAUGUAAGGGUGAACCAGAAAGGCAAUACCUAGGCGUGCACGGAGCUUACGGUUUCUAGCAGAGGAUGGGAGGGGCAGAAAGAAACC